rnacentral:rRNA from 1 species
UACAUGGGGUGCAAACGUUGCUCGGAAUCAUUGGGCGUAAAGCGCGCGUAGGCGGUUAUCUAAGUCGGAUGUGAAAUCCCUCGGCUCAACCGAGGAACUGCAUCCGAUACUGGCGGGCUUGAAUCCGGGAGAGGGAUGUGGAAUUCCAGGUGUAGCGGUGAAAUGCGUAGAUAUCUGGAGGAACACCGGUGGCGAAGGCGGCAUCCUGGACCGGUAUUGACGCUGAGGCGCGAAAGCUAGGGGAGCAAACGGG